AUUUCAAACACUUUAAGGGUGGGGCGAAAGAAGGCGUUUCUAUAAGGCUGCCAGCACUUCAACGGCAUUUAGCAAAUACUAGUUAUUUCCGCUAUUACCCGGUGAAUCGCGGUCUUUGCGGCCCGAAACCUUCCAACCCAUUAUCCUUGGACUUGCCGCCGGCCUGGCGUCCCCGCGCCGCGACACAGAUGGAACGGACCGUGACGUCACGAGACCGCGACUCAAUCAGACGCGGCGUUCGGGAAAUUUUAAAUUUAAAGGCGGGGUGGCCCGUACGCUCUGAAGCGCCGGCGGUGGAGGUUUCUGACGUAUUCCCUGGGGUCCAGCCGGGCAGGAUGGCGGAGGAAGGAGCCGUAGCCGUCUGCGUGCGGGUUCGGCCGCUCAAUAACAGAGAAGAAGCGCCUGACAAAGAUACUCAAGUUUACUGGAAAACUGACAAUAAUACAGUUUUUCAAGUUGAUGGGAGUAAAUCCUUCAAUUUUGAUCGUGUCUUUCAUAGUAAUGAAACUACUAAAAAUGUGUAUGAAGAAAUUGCAGUACCAAUCAUAGAUUCUGCCAUUCAAGGCUACAAUGGUACUAUAUUUGCCUACGGGCAGACUGCUUCAGGAAAAACGUAUACUAUGAUGGGUUCACAAGAGUAUUUGGGAGUAAUACCCAGGGCAAUUCAUGACAUUUUCCAGAAAAUUAAGAAGUUUCCUGAUAGGGAAUUUCUCUUACGUGUGUCUUAUAUGGAGAUAUACAAUGAUACCAUUACAGACUUACUUUGUGACACUCAAAAAAUGAAGCCUUUAAUAAUUCGAGAAGACUUCAAUAGAAACGUGUACGUGGCUGACCUCACAGAAGAAGUUGUUUAUACAUCAGAAAUGGCUUUGAAGUGGAUCACUAAGGGAGAAAAGAACAGGCAUUAUGGAAUUACAAAAAUGAAUCAGCGAAGUAGUCGUUCUCAUACCAUUUUUAGGAUGAUUUUGGAAAGCAGAGAGAAAGGUGAACCUUCUAAUUUUGAAGGAUCUGUCAAAGUGUCCCAUUUGAAUUUGGUCGAUCUUGCAGGCAGUGAACGGGCUGCCCAAACAGGUGCUGAAGGUUUACGACUCAAGGAAGGCUGUAAUAUAAAUCGAAGUUUAUUUAUUUUGGGACAAGUGAUCAAGAAACUUAGUGAUGGACAAGUUGGUGGUUUCAUAAAUUAUCGAGAUAGCAAAUUAACACGAAUUCUCCAGAAUUCCUUGGGAGGAAAUGCAAAAACACGUAUCAUCUGCACAAUUACUCCAGUGUCUUUUGAUGAAACACUUAGUACUCUCCAGUUUGCCAGCACUGCCAAAUAUAUGAAAAAUACUCCUUAUGUUAACGAGGUAUCAAGUGAUGAAGCUCUCCUGAAAAGAUACAGGAAAGAAAUAAUGGAUCUUAAAAAGCAAUUAGAGGAGGUUUCUUUAGAGACUCGAGCCCAGGCAAUGGAAAAAGACCAACUGGCCCAACUCUUGGAAGAAAAAGAUCUACUUCAAAAAGUCCAGAUUGAGAAAAUUCAAAACCUAACACGGAUGCUGGUGACAUCUUCUUCUCUAGCAUCACAGCAGGAAUUAAAGGCUAAAAAAAAACGAAGAGUUACUUGGUGCGCAGGGAAAAUUAACAAAAUGAAGGACUCAAACUAUGUAAAUGAAUUUAAUAUGGCAGUGAAUGUAACAACAAGAACACAUAAGGCUGCUGUAAGUUUAGGAGAAAUUGAUGAAUCUCUCUGUUCAGAGUCUGAUAUUUUCAGUAACACUCUUGAUACAUUGACUGAGAUAGAAUGGAAUCCAGCAACAAAGCUACUAAGUCAGGAAAACUUAGAAAGUGAAUUGAAUUCACUUCGUGCUAACUAUGAUAACCUGGUACUAGACUAUGAACAUUUAAGAAGAGAAAAUGAAGAAAUGGAAUUGAAAUUAAAAGAAAAGAAUGAUUUGGAUGAAUUUGAAGCUCUAGAAAGAAAAGCAGAGAAAGAUCAAGAGAUGCAACUAAUUCAUGAAAUUUCCAACUUAAAGAAUUUAGUUAAGCAUGCAGAAGUAUAUAAUCAAGAUCUUGAGAAUGAACUAAAUUCAAAAGUAGAGCUGCUUAGAGAAAAGGAAGACCAGAUUAAGAAGCUACAGGAAUAUAUAGAGUCUCAGAAGUCAGAAAGUAUGAAAAUGGACUCAUCAUACUCAUCGGAAAACACUGAAGACCUAAAACAAAUGAGACAGACUCUGCUUGAUGCCGAAACUGUAGCUCUUGAUGCUAAGAGAGAAUCAGCCUUUCUUAGAAGUGAAAAUCUAAAGCUGAAAGAGAAAAUGAAAGAACUUGCAAGUACAUGCAAGCAGAUGGAAAAUGAUACUCAGUUAUAUCAAAGUCAGUUGGAGGCGAAAAAGAAAAUGCAAGUUGAUCUGGAGAAAGAAUUACAAUCUUCUUUUAAUGAAAUAACAAAACUCACCUCCCUUAUAGAUGGCAAAGUUCCAAAAGAUUUUCUGUCUAAUAUGGAAUUGGAAAGAAAAAUAACCCAUCUACAGAAAGAAUUGAAUAAAGCAGUCGAAGAAAAUGAAACUUUGCGUAAUGAAGUUAAUUUGCUGUCAGAAUUGAAAUCUUUACCUUCAGAAGUAGAAAUGCUAAGGAAAGAGAUACGGGAUAAAUCUGAAGAGCUCUAUACAGUAACAUCAGAAAAAGACAAAUUGUCUUCUGAAGUAGUUGAUAAGGAAAGUAGAAUUCAAGGUUUACUUGAAGAAAUUGGGAGCACUAAAAAUGACCUACCAGCUCCCCAGUUGAGUUGUGAAAGCACUGAUCAAGAAUUCCAACAUGUUAAAAAUCACCAUAUUGAAUUUGAGCAAAAGUAUAAGAUGGUCCUUGAAGAAAAUGCAAAAUUGAAUCAAGAAAUAGGAAAUCUCUAUAAAGAAGCUGAAGAACUUGGGUUAAAUUUAGAGGCUUUGAAGACAGAGCUCUCUCACAAAACCCAAGAACUUCAACAAAAAACAACUGAGACUCAAGAAAGAUCAAACGAAGUGGAAGAGCUGAAGAAACAAUUAGAAAGUAGGGAAUCUAGACUGCAAAUGGUAGAAAAGGAGAAAACACUGAUUACUGAGAAACUUCAACAAACAUUAGUAGAAGUAAAAACCUUAACCCAAGAAAAAGAUGAUCAAAAACAACUCCAAGAGAGCCUACAAAUUGAGAGGGACCAACUCAAAAGUGACAUUCAGGAUACUAUAAAUAUGAACAUAGACACCCAGGAACAGCUACGAAAUGCGCUUGAGUCUUUGAAACAACACCAAGAAACAAUUAACGUGCUAAAAAUGAAAAUUUCUGAGGAAACUUCCAAGAAUUUGCAUAUAGAAGAAAACUUAGAAGAAACUAGGGAUGAAUUUCAGGAAAAGAUGGUUGUCAUAGAUAAAAGCCAAAAUUUGGAAACCACAAAAACUCAAGCUCUGAUCACAGAUGCUGCGGAUAAUGAGCUAACUGAGCAAGAGAAAAAGAUAUUUUCUUUAAUACAGGAGAAAAAUGAACUGCAACAAAUGUUAGAGAGUAUUACAGCAGAAAAGGAGCAACUGAAGACUGACCUAAGAGAAAACAUUGAAAUGACCAUUGAAAACCAGGAAGAAUUAAGAUUUCUUGGAAAUGAACUUAAAAAACAACAGGAUAUUGUUGCACAAGAAAAGAACCAUACCAUUAAGAAAGAAGAAGAGCUUUCUAGGACCUGUGAAAAACUAUCAGAAGUUCAAGAAAAACUAAAGGAAAAGAGCCAACAACUGCAAGAAAAACAGCAGCAACUGCUUAGUGUACAAGAAGAGAUGAGUGAGAUGCAGAAAAAGAUGAAUGAAAUGGAAAACUUAAAGAAUGAACUAAAGAACCAAGAAUUAACAUUGGAGCGUAUAAAAAUUGAGAAGAUAGAGUUAGCUCAGAAACUUCAUGAAAAUUGUGAGGAAAUGAAAUUCAUAACCAAAGAAAGAAACGACCUAAAGAAAUUACAGGAGUCAUUUGAAGUAGAGAGAAAUAAGCUUAAAGAACACAUAAGACAGAUUGAAGCUACAGGUCUAGAAACAAAAGAAGAACUACAGAUGGCCCACAUGUACCUAAAAGAACACCAAGAAACUAUUGAAGAACUAAGAAGAGACAUUUCUGAGAAGACGGCUCAGAUAAUAAAUACUCAGAAGAACUUAGAAAAAUCUGGUACUGAACUGCAAGAAAAGAUCCAAACAUCUCAAGACAAACAAGAACAGUCCUUCAAUAUGAAAGAAAAGGACAGUGAGACUAAGAAAAUAAUGAAUGAGAUGGAGCAAUUGAAGGACCCAUUCAAAGACUCAGCACUACUAAAGCUAGAAAUGGAAAAGCUCGAAUUGUCUGAAAGACUUCAAGAAAGUCAUGAUGAAGUCAAAGCUGUAGCAAAGGAGAGAGCUAACCUUCAGAGGCUACAAGAACUUCUUCAAUCUGAAAAGAACCAACUCCAAGAAAACCUAAGAGAAAUGGCCGCUAAACAACUAGAAACUGAAGAGAAACUUAAAGUUGCUCAUUGUCACCUAAAAGAACAAGAGGAAAUUAUUGGUAAACUAAGAGCGGAUCUAUCAAAGAGAGAAACUGAAAUAUCACACAUUCAACAGGAACUGGAAACAGCAAAUGAUAAAUUACAGAAAAAGACUCAAGAGCUUUAUGAGAAACAGUUUAUUACUGUCAAGGAAAUCAGUGAGACUCAGGAAACAAUGAGUGAACUGGAACAGUUAAAGGAACAUCUCAAAGCCAAAGGCUCGUCACUACAAAGAAAAGAAAGUGAGAGGCUCACAUUGACUGAAAAACUUCAGGCAAGUCAGGAAGAAUUAAAAACCAUAAUUAAGGAAGGAGAUGAACUGGAAAGGAUACAGGAGGCCCUUCAAAAAGAAACAGACCAACUCAAAGAAAACACUAAAGAAAUUGUAGCUGAUAUUCAAGAACUUCAGGAAAAAGAACAUCAACUUCUUGAGAUGAAGGAUGUCAGUGAGACUUGGGAAAAAAUAUGUGAAAUGGAAAACUUGAAGAAGCAACUUGAGGCCCAAAAGUCAACUCUAGAAAAUAUAGAAUGGGAGAACAUCAAGUUAAUUCAGAGACUCAAUGAAAAUAUUGCAGAAAUAAGAUCUGUUACAAAAGAAAGAGAUGACCUUAGGAAUAUGGAGGAGACUCUCAAAGUAGAGAUAGACCAGCUCAAGGAAAACCUAAGAGAAACAACAAAUAGAGACCUGGAAAGACAAGAGGAACUAAGAACUGCCCAGAUGAAUCUGAAAGAGCACCAAGAAACUAUCGAUAAACUCAGAGGAAUUGUUUCAGGGAAGACAGAUGAAAUAUCAAAUAUCCAAAUGAAUUUAGAAAACACAAAUAUGGCCUUAAAAGCACAGGUCAAUGAACUUCAGGAGAAAGAACAUCAACUUCUUAAGGUGCAAAAUGAUCUCAGGGAAAAUAUAUAUCAAACAGAGCAACUGAAGAAGCAAUUAGAGACUCAGAAUUCAAUCCUGGAAAGCACAGAAACAGAGAAGUUAAGGUUGACUCAGAAACUCCUUGAAAACGUUGAAGAAAUAAAAUCUGUUAGUAAGGAAAGAGAUGACCUAAGAAGAAUGGAGGGAACCCUCAAAAUGGAGCGAGAUCAACUCAGGGAAAGCCUCAGAGAAACAAAAGCUAAAGAUCUAGAAAGACAAGAAGAACUAAGAAUAGCUCACUUACAUCUGAAGGAGUACCAGGAAAUUAUUGAUAAACUCAGAGGGAUUGUGUCUGAGAAGGCAGAAGAACUAUCAAAUAUGCAAAUGGAUUUAGAAAAUUCAAAUGCUAAAUUACAAGAAAAGGUCCAAGAACUGAAAGCAAAUGAACAGCAACUUUUUAAGUUAAAAGAAGAAAUUAGUGAGACUAAGAAAAAAAUGUGUGACAUUGAGCAACUGAAGAACGAAUUUAAGUGCCAGAGUUUAACUAUGAACAAAAUAGAAAUGGAGAACUUAAACUUGGCUCAGAAGCUUCAUGAAAACCUUGAAGAAAUGAAAUCUGUAAUGAAAGAAAGAGAUAACCUAAGGGGGCUGGAAGAGACCCUCAGACUGGAGAGAGACCUACUCAAGGCGGACCUGCAAGGAAGCACAGCUAGGGAACUGGAGACACAAGAACAACUAAAAGUUGCUCAUAUCCAUUUGAAAGAACACCAAGAGACUAUCGAUAAAUUGAGAGAGAGAGUUUCAGAAAAGACGUCUCAGAUUUCACAUGUGCAAAAGGAUUUAAAUAAAUCAAAAGAUGAAUUACAGAAAAAGCAGGAUCAACAGAACCACAAAGAGGUAAAAUAUGAAAAAAGCUUACUAUGUGAUGGAAACCAACACCUUAUAGGAAGCCUGAGAGAAAAGUGCUUUAGGAUAAAAGAGCUUCUUAAGAGAUACUCAGCGAUGGAUAAGCACUAUGAAUGUUUAAGUAGAUUGUCUCUUGACUUGAAGAAGGAAAUUGAAACCCAAAAAGAGCUUUCAAUUAGAGUAAAAGCAAACCUCUCACUUCCAUAUCCACAAACCAAACAAAUCCAGAAACUUCUCACUGCAAACCAGAGGUGUUCCAUGGAAUUUCAUAGAGUCGUAAUGAAACUUCAGUAUGUGCUAAGCUAUGUUGCAAGGACAAAGGAAGAACAACAUGAAUCCAUCAAUAAAUUUGAAAUGGCUUUUAUUGAUGAAGUGGAAAAGCAAAAUGAACUGCUAAUGGAACUACAGCACUUUCAACAAGAUUAUGAUGUACCACCUGGAGAAUCAAGGGACCUCAAAUUGAACCAGAGCAUGGAUCUACAUAUCGAAGAAAUUCUUAAGGAUUUUUCAGAAAGUGAUUUCCAUAGCAUAAAGACUGAAUUUCAGCAAGUACUAAGUAAUAGAAAAGAAAUGACUCGGUUUUUGGAAGAGUGGUUGAAUGCUCGUUUUGAUAUAGAAAAGCUUAAAAAUGUCAUCCAGGAAGAAAAUGAUAGUAUUUGUCAAGUGAACAACUUGUAUCAUGAGAAAAUAACGGCUAUAAUGAAUGAAUUAACAGAGUUUGAAGAAAGAAAUGCUACCAUAGCCAAAGAAUGGGAACAAGAUCUGAAAUCAGUGAAAGAAAACAAUCAAAAACUAUUUAAAAACUACCAAACUUUGAAGCUCUCCCUGACCUCCGGUGCUCUUGUUAAUCCUACUACACAAGACAGGAAUCUUCAUGUCACAACGAGAGCUACACAGCAAGUCACAGAGAAAAUUCAAGCGCUGGAAACCUCACUCCGUGAAGCUAAAGAAAGUGCUAUGCAUAAGGAGGGCAAGAUUAUGAAGAUGCAGAAAGAGCUUGAGAUGACUAAUGAUGUAAUAGCAGAACUUCAGCGGCAAGUUAAUGAAUCAAAUGAAUGCCUUGAAAAAAGAAAAGAAAUGAUCCAAGUACUUCAGGACAAAGCUGCUUUAGGAGCUAAACCUUAUAAAGAAGAAAUUGAAGAUCUCAAAAUGAAGUUGGUGAAAGUGGACCUAGAGAAAAUGGAAAAUGCGAAGGAGUUUGAAAAGGAAAUUGCUUCAACAAAAGCCACUGUAGAAUAUCAAAAAGAAGUUAUAAGGCAAUUGAAAGAGAAUCUUAGAAGAAAUCAACAGGCCCAAGAUACCUCAAUGCUAUCAGAACAUAUUGAUACUCAGCCUUCAAAUAAACCCUUAACCUGUGGAGGUGGCAGUGGCAUUGUACAAAGCACGAAAGCUCUUAUCCUGAAAAGUGAAUAUAUACGGCUAGAAAAGGAAGUUUCUAAGUUAAAGCAGCAAAAUGAACAGCUCAUGAAGCAAAAGAACGAACUGUCAAGUGAGGUCAAGACAUGGAAGGAGAGAACUCUUAAAAAAGAGGUUCACAAAGAAGUAACUUGUGAGAAUUCUCCAAAGUCUCCUAAAGUGACUGGGACACCCUCUAAAAAGAGACACCAUAUGUCUUCUCAAUGCAAGGAACGGAAUGUCCAAGAUCCUGUGCCAAAGGAGUCGCCGAAAUCUUGGUUUUUUGAUAACCGAUCAAAGUCUUUGCCAGUACCUCCUCCAGUUCGCUAUUUUGAUAACUCAGGUUUAGGCCUUUGUCCAGAAGAACAAACUGCUGAAGUGGAGACCGAGGAUCCCCAGCGAGGUCCUUGGCAAAUGUCGUCAGGAAAAGAGGUGCCAGAGUGCAAGACUCAGUAGGCUCCGCUCUGCCGCGUUUCUGGCGGCCCAGCCUUCCACGUUUGGAAGUGUCUGUGUUUAUUGCUUGAUGUGUCUAUCCCUGGCAGGCAUGUCACAGUCCAGCUUCAGUUCAGUUCCCACUUUGC
rnacentral:lncRNA from 1 species